GUGGGGAAUAUUGCACAAUGGGGGAAACCCUGAUGCAGCGACGCCGCGUGAGUGAAGAAGUAUUUCGGUACGUAAAGCUCUAUCAGCAAGGAAGAAAAUGACGGUACUUGACUAAGAAGCCCCGGCUAACUACGUGCCAGCAGCCGCGGUAAUACGUAGGGGGCAAGCGUUAUCCGGAUUUACUGGGUGUAAAGGGAGCGUAGACGGUAUGGUAAGUCAGAUGUGAAAGCCCGGGGCUCAACCCCGGGACUGCAUUUGAAACUAACAGACUAGAGUGCAGGAGAGGUAAGUGGAAUUCCUAGUGUAGCGGUGAAAUGCGUAGAUAUUAGGAGGAACACCAGUGGCGAAGGCGGCUUACUGGACUGUAACUGACGUUGAGGCUCGAAAGCGUGGGGAGCAAACAGGAUUAGAUACCCCAGUAGUCC
rnacentral:rRNA from 1 species